GAUGAACGCUGGCGGCGUGCUUAACACAUGCAAGUCGAACGGAAAGGCCCAAGCUUGCUUGGGUACUCGAGUGGCGAACGGGUGAGUAACACGUGGGUGAUCUGCCCCGCACUUCGGGAUAAGCCUGGGAAACUGGGUCUAAUACCGGAUAGGACAGUUGUUUGGAUGCCAUUCUGGAACGUUUUUUCGGUGUGGGAUGAGCUCGCGGCCUAUCCGCUUGUUGGUGGGGUAAUGGCCUACCAAGGCGUCGACGGGUAGCCGGCCUGAGAGGGUGUACGGCCACAUUGGGACUGAGAUACGGCCCAGACUCCGACGGGAGGCAGCAGUGGGGAAUAUUGCACAAUGGGCGCAAGCCUGAUGCAGCGACGCCGCGUGGGGGAUGACGGCCUUCGGGUUGUAAACUCCUUUCGCUAGGGACGAAGCGUUAUGUGACGGUACCUAGAGAAGAAGCACCGGCUAACUACGUG
rnacentral:rRNA from 1 species